rnacentral:rRNA from 1 species
CAGUAGCCGCGGGAAUACGAAGGGUGCAAGCGUUAAUCGGAAUUACUGGGCGUAAAGCGUGCGCAGGCGGUUGUGUAAGACAGGUGUGAAAUCCCCGGGCUUAACCUGGGAACUGCGCUUGUGACUGCACAGCUAGAGUAUGGCAGAGGGGGGUGGAAUUCCACGUGUAGCAGUGGAAUGCGUAGAGAUGUGGAGGAACACCGAUGGCGAAGGCAGCCCCCUGGGCCAAUACUGACGCUCAUGCACGAAAGCGUGGGGAGCAAACAGGAUUAGAUACCCCUGUAGUCCCUGUCUCUUAUAC